rnacentral:rRNA from 1 species
CAGCCGCCGCGGUAAUGCGUAGGUGGCAAGCGUUGUCCGGAAUUAUUGGGCGUAAAGGGCUCGCAGGCGGUUUCUUAAGUCUGAUGUGAAAGCCCCCGGCUCAACCGGGGAGGGUCAUUGGAAACUGGGAAACUUGAGUGCAGAAGAGGAGAGUGGAAUUCCACGUGUAGCGGUGAAAUGCGUAGAGAUGUGGAGGAACACCAGUGGCGAAGGCGACUCUCUGGUCUGUAACUGACGCUGAGGAGCGAAAGCGUGGGGAGCGAACAGGAUUAGAUACCCCAGUAGUCCCUGUCUCUUAUAC